rnacentral:tRNA from 1 species
AUUAGGGUGGCAGAGACCGGUUAUUGCAUAAAACUUAAACUUUUACAAACAGAGGUUCAACCCNUCUCCCUAAU